rnacentral:rRNA from 1 species
GAUGAACGCUGGCGGCGUGCCUAAUACAUGCAAGUCGAGCGAACAGGCGAGGAGCUUGCUCCUCUGACGUUAGCGGCGGACGGGUGAGUAACACGUGGAUAACCUACCUAUAAGACUGGGAUAACUUCGGGAAACCGGAGCUAAUACGGGAUAACAUGCUGAACCGCAUGGUUCAACAGUGAAAGACGGUUUUGCUGUCACUUAUAGAUGGAUCCGCGUCGCAUUAGCUAGUUGGUAAGGUAACGGCUUACCAAGGCAAAGAUGCGUAGCCGAGCUGAGCGGGUGAUCGACCACCCUGGAACUGAGACACGGUCCAUACGCCUACGGUAGGCAGCAGUCGCGAAUCGUCCGCAAAGGGCGAAAGCCUGACGCAGCAGCGCCGCGUGAGUGAAGAAGGUCUUCGGAUCGUAAAACUCUGUUAUUAGGGAAGAACCAAUGUGUAAGUAACUAUGCACGUCUUGACGGUACCUAAUCAGAAAGCCCCGGCUAACUACGUG